AGUUCCUACGGGACGCAGUAGGGAAUAUUGCACAAUGGGCGAAAGCCUGACGCAGCGACGCCGCGUGAGGGAUGAAGGUCUUCGGAUCGUAAACCUCUGUCAGCAGGGAAGAACGGUCACUGUGCUAAUCAGCAGUGAAUUGACGGUACCUGCAAAGGAAGCACCGGCUAACUCCGUGCCAGCAGCCGCGGUAAUACGGAGGGUGCGAGCGUUAAUCGGAAUUACUGGGCGUAAAGCGCUCGUAGGCGGUAUGUCAAGUCAAGGGUGAAAUCCCCGCGCUCAACGUGGGAACUGCCUUUGAAACU
rnacentral:rRNA from 1 species